rnacentral:lncRNA from 1 species
UCUCAGGUGAUCCAUCCCCCAUGGCCUCCCAAAGUGCUGGGAUUACAGGCAUGAGCCAACAUGCCCUACCCCAUCUGGUGCUUCUUACGAGAGCAAGCAGACUAGACUGGGAAGGAUCAGAGGAAGGGAUGGACAGACAAGUAGACAGCAAUCACACGACCAAAACCACACUUGACAACCAGGAAGCAAAACAAGGAAGCAAGACAGAGCCAGCCAGAUCCAACAAUGGGAUUCUUCCUGGAAGUGCUGGGAUUUAUCUUUUCCUCUGUGACAGUGUCCCUCCUCCUGGAGUCCGCAUGGAGAACGCACCUCUUCUUCACUAGGUAUUUCUCACGCCUGGACUGUCCUCCUGCCUGGACCCCCACAUCAUUCUACAUCAGUGGAGCUUAACGUUGGCUGCACACCUGAAUCCUCUACAGAGUUUUUUAAAACUGAUGACUCCUGGAUCCCAACUCCAGAGGUUCUGAUUUAAUUGGCCAGGGGUGUGCCCUGGACACUGGCAUUUUUCAAAACUCCACAGAUGAUUCUAAUAUGCAGCCAAAGAGUCACUCCUCUAGACCCAUAACUGCUGCACUGCAAAGAAAUUUAUAGGACCAGUGCUUCUCAACACUGACUACACACUAGAAUCACCAGGGAAGCUUUAAAAAUUACAAGCCCUGGGCUCCACCCCAGACCAAAUAAAUUGGAAUCGCCAGAGGUACCAACCAUGUGUCAGUAGCUUUCAAAGCCUCCCAGGUGAUUGUAACAUGCAGCCAGGAUUGAAAACCACUGCUACAGACCAAAGGUGUGGCCAGAAGCAAUCACAGAUGGAAGAAUUACCGAGUGUCGCCCUGUGGGUGAAAGCAAAGGAAUAAGGAAAAUAUUCUCCACUUACACGGCUGCUACAAUGAGAGUGUUUUGUUUUGUCUUUUUUUUUCAGGCUCUGAUUCAGCUUCAUCUAUUUGCCUACCUUUUCCAGCUGUUAGUUGGUCACCUGCCUGCCAAUAUUUGUGCAUAGGCUCUAGGAGUUUACAGUCAGUAAAGUAUCCCACCUGCAGACUUAAACAGGGCUAUUAUCUGGCACAAAGUUGGAGUGAUUGCUUCUGUAUUGCAAAAUGAUUUUAUCUGCUG